rnacentral:tRNA from 1 species
GCAGCCGUAACUCAGCAGAAAAGUGGGGAUUUGUAAUCCCCAAGUCGUGGGUUCAAAUCCCACCGACAACUCCA